rnacentral:tRNA from 1 species
AAGGGAUGUAGCGCAGCUUGGUAGCGCGUUUGUUUUGGGUACAAAAUGUCACGGGUUCGAAUCCUGUCAUCCCUACCUAUUACUUAUCUUCUGAACAGUAACGGGGGAUCAAUUGAGAUCGAUUAAAAGAAAAUUGGAUAUACAUAAAAAAUCUUUAAUUUUAUGAUAGUAUAUAUGCAAGACGUAUUGGGAUCACAAAAUAUUCAUUGUGAUAAUAAAGCGCUCUUAGUUCAGUUCGGUAGAACGUGGGUCUCCAAAACCCGAUGUCGUAGGUUCAAAUCCUACAGAGCGUGAUUCUGUGUUCUUGUUAGUCGCGCUAGGUCG